AUGAGUGUACAGGUCACCGGGCGAGCACAGAGGAUUCGUGCUGUGCUGGUGUGGAGGCGGAGCGGACCAGCGUCGUCGGCAUUCCGUGUUUGUUUAACAGCAGGCCCUCGGCCGACGCGUGGAGUGGAGUGGGCUGGGCUGGGCUGGGGACCGACCGUCCAUGUGCAGUGCAGUAGUGGUCCCAAAUUGUUUAUUCCUCCACCGGGGGUCCUCGCUUCUUCUUCUCCUCCCAGAAAAAAAAAAGAAAAGAAAAGAAAAGAAAUCGGAAAAUGCCGGACAGACACCAUCGGCAAGGACACCUACCACCACACCUUCUUCGAGAUGCUCGGCAACUGGUCCUUCAGGGACUACUUCAAGGACGGGGCCAUCGCAUACGCAUGACAACUACUCACACAGGUCUACAAAUUGCCCACUGAUAGGAUUUAUGCAACAUACUUUGGUGGUGAUGAGAAAGCUGGUCUUGUUCCUGACACCGAGUCGAAAGACAUAUGGUUGAAGUAUUUACCGAAUGAAAGAGUUCUGCCUUUCGGUUGCAAGGAUAACUUUUGGGAGAUGGGCGACACAGGUCCUUGCGGCCGAUGCACAGAGAUUCAUUUUGACCGUAUUGGCAACCGUGACGCAGCCUCAUUAGUCAAUAAUGAUGACCCUACAUGUAUUGAGAUAUGGAAUCUUGUGUUUAUUCAGUUCAACAGGGAAUCAGACGCUACUUUGAGAUCCUUGCCAGCAAAACACGUUGACACUGGAAUGGGCUUUGAGCGUUUAACUUCUACCCUUCAGAAUAAAAUGAGCAAUUACGACACAGAUGUAUUCAUGCCGUUAUUUGAUGCCAUCCACAAGCUGGCAGGCGCUGGAAUUCAACCAUACUCUGGUAAAGUAGGAUCCGAUGAUGUUGGGAAAGUUGAUAUGGCAUAUAGGGUUGUUGCAGAUCACAUAAGAACCCUUUCUUUUGCUAUUGCUGAUGGUUCUCAACCUGGAAAUGAGGGAAGAGAGUAUGUUCUAAGGCGUAUACUUAGACGUGCUGUUCACUUUGGUCAUCAAAAAUUGAUGGCAAAGCAAGGAUUUUUUAGCUCCCUUGUAGAUGUUUUUGUCCGAGUGAUGGGUGAUGUGUUUCCUGAGCUGAAGGACAAUGAAAAGAAGAUUAAAGAUAUAAUUAAAGAAGAAGAGGCAAGCUUUGAGAACACUCUAGCGAAGAGAUAUGAGAGAUUUAAGAAAGCUGCAGAUGCUGUCAAGGAGAAUGGUGGGGCAGUACUUAGUAGCCAGGAUGCAUUUGUUCUGUGGGACACAUAUGGCUAUCCAAUUGAUUUGACGGAGGUCAUGGCAGUUGACUUUGGGCUAUCUGUUGACAUGGAGGGUUUUAAUGUUUCUAUGGAAGAAGCAAGGCAAAAGGCUAGGAAUGCUCGCUACAAGGUUGUAUUUAUUUCUUCUUAA
rnacentral:rRNA from 1 species